UACGUAGGGGGCAAGCGUUGUUCGGAAUUACUGGGCGUAAAGGGCUUGUAGGUGGCCAACUAAGUCAGACGUGAAAUCCCUCGGCUUAACCGGGGAACUGCGUCUGAUACUGGAUGGCUCGAGUUUGGGAGAGGGAUGCGGAAUUCCAGGUGUAGCGGUGAAAUGCGUAGAUAUCUGGAGGAACACCGGUGGCGAAGGCGGCAUCCUGGACCAACACUGACACUGAAAAGCGAAAGCCAGGGGAGCAAACGGG
rnacentral:rRNA from 1 species